rnacentral:piRNA from 1 species
UCCUGCUAAAAAUGGUGGCAGUUCUGC